AUCCUUAGAAAACAGCUUAAAAAAUUUAUAUUUUCAAUUUGUCAUUUUUAAGAUAAAAUCUCAGGCAGAAAAACUCUUGUAAUUGUUAUAGCUUGUAAUUCAGGAAACAUUCCUUAAAGAGAGAUGAAGAUUCAUUAGAGAGAGAAAGAUUAUAAUGCCUGGAAAAACAAACCUUACAGUUUAUUAGUUAGGCUAAUAUUAUUUUGAAAGUUCUCUUAGUAUGCAUGUGAAUUUGAUCUAAAUGUUGACAGAUAUUUAUACUUUUCAUCACUUACUAUAAUUCAUCAGUUUAGGUUAUGAUGAUGCUGUAAAGUUCAAUGAAGAAUCUAGUUUUACUAUCUGCUUCAGUUCAUAAUACUGUUUGUGCUUGGGAUUGCCGUAGCAAGUCUUGCGAGCCUAUUCAGUUGUGGUUGAGUCUUGCUGAAAGACAUUUAGAAGGUAAAACUGCUCUUUUAGAGAAAGCAUUUUCUGUUUGCUUAGGUGAGAAAUGUGAUCCAGAUGAAAGUGAACUUGGAACUCAAAUAAUUAAGGAUCUUCAUCAAACUGGUUGCAAUUCAUUUAGUGGUGAAGUAGCUCAACAAAACCAAACUCACUUGAAACGUGUUCUCCUAGCGUAUGCAGAAUGGAAUCCUAGCGUAGGAUAUUGUCAAGGUUUUAUUUAAUAUACUAGCAGCUAUUAUUCUAGAAGUUGUAGAAUGGAAAGAAGAGGAUGCUCUUUUAGUUAUGAUAUUUCUUAUUGAAGAAGUAUUUCCAGAAAGUUAUUUUGCUAAUCAUUUGCGUGGUUUAUCUGUUGACAUGGCUGUCUUUAGAGACCUCCUAUGCCUACGCCUGUCUAGCUUAUCUGCUCAUCUAGACAGACUGCAGUCAAAUACACAGGAUUCAUGCACAGGUGAUGAUGAUAUUUUAAGACAUAUUUAUAUGAGCCUCCACUUACCAAUGUCUUUACAAUGCAAUGGUUUCUGACCUUUUUUACAACCUGCCUUCCAAAAGAUACUGUACUGCAAGUCUGGGAUUUGAUUUUCCUCAAAGGCAAUGAAGUACUAUUGAGAGUCGCUCUGGCCAUUUGGGAUGGAUUAGCUGAUAGAAUCAUGGUGUUGAGAGUGCAGAUGAAUUUUAUUGCAUUAGGGGUGUUCUUACACAUGAUAUUUUAGAGUUUGGUCUUAUGGAUGCAGGUAUGUUUGUUAAGACUAUGCGUACUUAAAACCUUCAACUGUUCAAUGGUCCAGGUAGUAUACAUUACCUAGAUCAAGGUACCUUUUUCGUGUGAAGGCUACAUAGCUUAUCUUAGAUGGAUUGACAACCUGAUUCAGAGCACCAUCUAGCUACUUCUAGAAGUGCAUUAUUCAUGAUAUCAGAGAUUGUUUUACCAUGUUUACCUCUGACAAUGACACCGUCAACAGCGUGCCCGAUACAGGGUAUGCCAAGAUCAGUUAACCAAACUAACAAGGAGUCCAUUACUAUACACCAUAGGAUAGGGGAUAAAGCCCCUCCCUGGGGGCACCCUGCGGUUGCAUGCACUUUCAUGCUUGCACCCAAUAAAGAUAUUAUUACAACAAUCCAAUCUUGAAAUGAAGCAUGCAUUUGAGUAACCCCAUUCUGAAGAGUCCGAUUCGCGUGAUUUCGUUGUCAAUCUGUUUUUUGGUAAUUACUGCUGCAGAUUUCAUCAUGUGAUGAUGAUUUGCAAUAUGCGAUAAGGGAAAUAAUUAUCCCCUUUGACAAAAUAUAAGAAUAUUGCCCAUAAUAUU